rnacentral:rRNA from 1 species
CUCACCAAGGCGACGAUCCGUAGCUGGUCUGAGAGGACGACCAGCCACACUGGAACUGAGACACGGUCCAGACUCCUACGGGAGGCAGCAGUGGGGAAUUUUGGACAAUGGGGGCAACCCUGAUCCAGCCAUUCCGCGUGAGUGAAGAAGGCCUUCGGGUUGUAAAGCUCUUUCAGCAGGAACGAAACGGUGGCCACUAAUACUGGCUACUAAUGACGGUACCUGAAGAAGAAGCACCGGCUAACUACGUGCCAGCAGCCGCGGUAAUACGUAGGGUGCGAGCGUUAAUCGGAAUUACUGGGCGUAAAGCGUGCGCAGGCGGUUCCAUAAGACAGAUGUGAAAUCCCCGGGCUUAACCUGGGGAACUGCGUUUGUGACUGUGGGACUCGAGUGUGGCAGAGGGGGGUGGAAUUCCACGUGUAGCAGUGAAAUGCGUAGAGAUGUGGAGGAACACCGAUGGCGAAGGCAGCCCCCUGGGUCAACACUGACGCUCAUGCACGAAAGCGUGGGG